CGAACGCUGGCGGCGUGCCUAACACAUGCAAGUCGAGGGUUUGAUUUAUCAAGCACUGGCAUCCGGGUGAGUAACGCGUAGGUCAUCUGCCCCUAUCACAGACAUAACAGUUCUAACGGACUGCUAAUAUCUGAUGAGGCGAGCAAUCGUCAAAGCUUUGGCGGAUAGGGAUGAGCCUGCGUCUGAUUAGGUAGUUGGUGAGGUAAUGGCUCACCAAGCCUUCGAUCAGUAGCUGGUCUGAGAGGACGAACAGCCACACUGGAACUGAGACACGGUCCAGACUCCUACGGGAGGCAGCAGUGAGGAAUAUUGGUCAAUGGGCGCAAGCCUGAACCAGCGACGCCGCGUGGGGGAUGAAGGGGCUUUGCCUCGUAAACCUCUGUCGGAUGGGACGAAAGGUGGCUUUGAGCCACUGGGACGGUACCAUCAAAGGAAGGAUCGGCUAACUACGUGCCAGCACCGCG
rnacentral:rRNA from 1 species